rnacentral:tRNA from 1 species
CCCUCAUGGUCAAGCGGUUAAGACGUCGCCCUCUCACGGCGGAAUCUGGGGUUCGAUUCCCCAUGGAGGUGCCA